GUCUACAGCCAUGCUACCCUGAACACGCCUGAACCUGUCUGAUCUCGGAAACUAAGCAGGGUCAGGUCUGGUUAGUACUUGGAUGGGAGACGACCUAGGAAGACCAGGUGCUGUAGACG
rnacentral:rRNA from 1 species